rnacentral:rRNA from 1 species
GAUGAACGCUGGCGGCGUGCCUAAUACAUGCAAGUCGAGCGAACAGACGAGGAGCUUGCUCCUCUGACGUUAGCGGCGGACGGGUGAGUAACACGUGGAUAACCUACCUAUAAGACUGGGAUAACUUCGGGAAACCGGAGCUAAUACCGGAUAAUAUAUUGAACCGCAUGGUUCAAUAGUGAAAGACGGUUUUGCUGUCACUCAUAGAUUGAUCCGCGCCGCAUUAGCUAGUUGGUAAGGUAACGGCUUACUAAGGCAACGAUGCGUAGCCGACCUGAGAGGGUGAUCGGCCACACUGGAACUGAGACACGGUCCAGACUCCUACGGGAGGCAGCAGUAGGGAAUCUUCCGCAAUGGGCGAAAGCCUGACGGAGCAACGCCGCGUGAGUGAUGAAGGUCUUCGGAUCGUAAAACUCUGUUAUUAGGGAAGAACAAAUGUGUAAGUAACUAUGCACGUCUUGACGGUACCUAAUCAGAAAGCAACGGCUAACUACGUG